rnacentral:sRNA from 1 species
ACCGGCGGUCGAGCAACAAAUGGAGGUAAACCAAUGGUAGUAGACCUCCAUAAUCUUUGGUAACACUACAAGAAAACAGGUAAACGACGACUACAAUCAGCGACAGUAAACGUAGUCGUAAAGUUAAACGACGUUUUGGCGAUGGAUUUACGACUAGCGUGCUACAACUCGAAAAAUUGUAGUUACAUAGUCGUUGUUUUACGACUA